rnacentral:rRNA from 1 species
AGCGAACGCUGGCGGCAGGCCUAACACAUGCAAGUCGAACGAACCCUUCGGGGUUAGUGGCGGACGGGUGAGUAACACGUGGGAACGUGCCUUUAGGUUCGGAAUAACUCAGGGAAACUUGUGCUAAUACCGAAUGUGCCCUUCGGGGGAAAGAUUUAUCGCCUUUAGAGCGGCCCGCGUCUGAUUAGCUAGUUGGUGAGGUAAUGGCUCACCAAGGCUACGAUCAGUAGCUGGUCUGGGAGGAUGACCAGCCACAUUGGGACAGAGACACGGCCCAAACUCCUACGGGAGGCAGCAGUGGGGAAUCUUGCGCAAUGGGCGAAAGCCUGACGCAGCCAUGCCGCGUGGAUGAUGAAGGUCUUAGGAUUGUAAAAUCCUUUCACCGGUGAAGAUAAUGACUGUAGCCGGAGAAGAAGCCCCGGCUAACUUCGUGCCAGCCGCCGCCGUAAUAC